GGAUGUGUGGUAGAGUGGUUGAAUACAUCUAACUUGAAAUUAGAAGCUUAGAAAUAAGCCAGGAGUUCGAAUCUCCUCGCAUCCG
rfam:Tilletia walkeri strain DAOM 236422 scaffold_133 mitochondrial, whole genome shotgun sequence.